GGGCUAUUAGCUCAGUGGUAGAGCGCGCCCCUGAUAAUUGCCGGGCGAGGUCUCUGGUUCAAGUCCAGGAUGGCCCA
rnacentral:tRNA from 65 species